AUUGAACGCUGGCGGAAUGCUUUACACAUGCAAGUCGAACGGCAGCACGGGGGCAACCCUGGUGGCGAGUGGCGAACUGGUGAGUAAUACAUCGGAACGUGCCCAGUCGUGGGGGAUAACGUAGCGAAAGUUACGUUAAUACCGCAUACGAUCUACGGAUGAAAGCGGGGGACCGUAAGGCCUCGCGCGAUUGGAGCGGCCGAUGUCAGAUUAGGUAGUUGGGAAGGUAAAGGCGCACCAAGCCGACGAUCUGUAGCUGGUCUGAGAGGACGACCAGCCACACAGGGACUGGGAAACGGCCCAGACUCCUACGGGAGGCAGCAGUGGGGAAUUUUGGACAAUGGGCGCAAGCCUGAUCCAGCCAUUCCGCGUGCAGGUCGAAGGCCUUCGGGUUGUAAACUGCUUUUGUACGGAACGAAAAGGCUCUGGUUAAUACCUGGGGCUCAUGACGGUACCGUAAGAAUAAGCACCGGCUAACUACGUGCCAGCAGCCGCCGUAA
rnacentral:rRNA from 1 species